rnacentral:misc_RNA from 1 species
CCGAGUUUACAACUCCCAAACCCAAUGUGAACGUUACCAAACUGUUGCCUCGGCGGGGUCACGCCCCGGGUGCGUAAAAGCCCCGGAACCAGGCGCCCAGCCCGGAGGAACCAACCAAACUCUUUCUGUAGUCCCCUCGCGGACGUAUUUCUUACAGCUCUGAGCAAAAAUUCAAAUGAAUCA